rnacentral:tRNA from 1 species
AUUUUUGUAGUUGAUUAACAACGGUGGUUUUUCAUGCCACAGGUCUCUAAUGAGCAAGAAUU